CUACGGAGGAUGCGAGCGUUAUCCGGAUUUAUUGGGUUUAAAGGGAGCGUAGGUGGGAUAUUAAGUCAGCUGUGAAAGUUUGGGGCUCAACCUUAAAAUUGCAGUUGAUACUGGUUUCCUUGAGUACGGUACAGGUGGGCGGAAUUCGUGGUGUAGCGGUGAAAUGCUUAGAUAUCACGAAGAACUCCGAUCGCGAAGGCAGCUCACCGGGCCGGAACUGACACUGAUGCUCGAAAGUGCGGGUAUCAAACAGGAUUAGAUACCCUGGUAGUCCGCACAGUAAACGAUGAAUACUCGCUGUUUGCGAUACACUGUAAGCGGCCAAGCGAAAGCGUUAAGUAUUCCACCUGGGGAGUACGCCGGCAACGGUGAAACUCAAAGGAAUUGGCGGGG
rnacentral:rRNA from 1 species